rnacentral:rRNA from 1 species
GUCACCGGCGCGUGAAUACAUAGCGCGCAUGGAGCGAACGCGGCGAACUGAAACAUCUCAGUAGCCGCAGGAACAGAAAUCAACCGAGAUUCCCAAAGUAGUGGCGAGCGAAAUGGGAAGAGCCUGCACGAUUUAGCAAUUGCGUUAGCCAAACGCUCUGGAAAGGGCGGCCGCAGUGGGUGAUAGCCCCGUAGGCGAAAGCGCGGAUGUGGAACUGAGUGUGCGACAAGUAGGGCGGGACACGUGAAAUCCUGUCUGAAGAUGGGGGGACCAUCCUCCAAGGCUAAAUACUCGUGAUCGACCGAUAGUGAACCAGUACCGUGAGGGAAAGGCGAAAAGCACCCCGGGAGGGGAGUGAAAUAGAUCCUGAAUCCGCAUGCAUACAAACAGUCGGAGCUCCGUCACUCAAUUGCUUUGCAAUGGAGUGGCUCCGCUCCUCCUAAAAACUAGUGUCUAGAAACUAGAAACUAGAGAAAGUCAGGCCGUGCUGGCGCACGGCGUUGUUCGUACGAUAGCAGCGCAGCUGCUCUGAAUUCUCUAGUUUCUAGUCUCUAGUAUCUAGUUUCUAGAACGGAGUCACUCGAAGCGCAAAGCGCUUGAGUGACGGAGUGACGGCGUACCUUUUGUAUAAUGGGUCAGCGACUUACGUUGUGUAGCGAGCUUAACCGCAUAGGGGAGGCGUAGGGAAACCGAGUCCGAACAGGGCGAUUAGUUGCACGGCGUAGACCCGAAACCGGAUGAUCUACUCAUGGCCAGGAUGAAGGUGGGGUAACGCUCACUGGAGGUCCGAACCCACUAGUGUUGAAAAACUAGGGGAUGAGCUGUGGGUAGGGGUGAAAGGCUAAACAAAUCCGGAAAUAGCUGGUUCUCUCCGAAAGCUAUUUAGGUAGCGCCUCGUGUAUCACUCUCGGGGGUAGAGCACUGUAAUGGUUGCGGGGGUCAUCGCGACUUACCGCGCCAUAGCAAACUCCGAAUACCGAGAAGUGCGAGCACGGGAGACAGACGUCGGGUGCUAACGUCCGACGUCAAGAGGGAAACAACCCAGACCGCCAGCUAAGGUCCCCAAGCACAGUUAAGUGGGAAACGAGGUGGGAAGGCUCAGACAGCCAGGAUGUUGGCUUAGAAGCAGCCAUCAUUUAAAGAAAGCGUAAUAGCUCACUGGUCGAGUCGUCCUGCGCGGAAGAUGUAACGGGGCUCAAACUGUGC